rnacentral:rRNA from 1 species
UGGGGAAUUUUGGACAAUGGGCGAAAGCCUGAUCCAGCAAUGCCGCGUGUGUGAAGAAGGCCUUCGGGUUGUAAAGCACUUUUGUCCGGAAAGAAGUCCUUGGCUCUAAUACAGUCGGGGGAUGACGGUACCGGAAGAAUAAGCACCGGCUAACUACGUGCCAGCAGCCGCGGUAAUACGUAGGGUGCAAGCGUUAAUCGGAAUUACUGGGCGUAAAGCGUGCGCAGGCGGUUUGCUAAGACCGAUGUGAAAUCCCCGGGCUCAACCUGGGAACUGCAUUGGUGACUGGCAGGCUAGAGUAUGGCAGAGGGGGGUAGAAUUCCACGUGUAGCAGUGAAAUGCGUAGAGAUGUGGAGGAAUACCGAUGGCGAAGGCAGCCCCCUGGGCCAAUACUGACGCUCAUGCACGAAAGCGUGGGGAGCAAACAGGAUUAGAUACCCUGGUAGUCCACGCCCUAAACGAUGUCAACUAGUUGUUGGGGAUUCAUUUCCUUAGUAACGUAGCUAACGCGUGAAGUUGACCGCCUGGGGAGUACGGUCGCAAGAUUAAAACUCAAAGGAAUUGACGGGGUC